rnacentral:rRNA from 1 species
UCGAGAAGCUUCGGCAAUGGGCGAAAGCCUGACCGAGCGACGCCGCGUGAGCGAAGAAGGCCCUAUGGGUUGUAAAGCUCUGUCAGAUUGGGAAGAAAACUUCGCGGUUAAUACCCGCGAAGCUUGACGGUACCGUCAGAGGAAGCACCGGCUAACUCCGUGCCAGCAGCCGCGGUAAUACGGAGGGUGCAAGCGUUGUUCGGAUUCACUGGGUGUAAAGGGUGCGCAGGCGGCCUGGUAAGUCAGGGGUGAAAUAUGACGGCUCAACCGUCAAACUGCCUCUGAAACUGUCAGGCUUGAGUCCGUGAGGGGAAGGUGGAAUUCCUGGUGUAGCGGUGAAAUGCGUAAAUAUCAGGAGGAACACCGGUGGCGAAGGCGGCCUUCUGGCCCGGAACUGACGCUCAGGCACGAAAGCCAGGGGAGCGAACA